rnacentral:lncRNA from 1 species
GAGGAUAUGGAAUUUCAAUACAAGGAACGUAAAUGCUUCUGAUGGAAUUUCAAUUCAAGAACCACACAUGUCUUCAAGAACACAUCCAGUCCAAACUUUCUGCUAUUGCUUUCUAACAGAAUAUACACCAAGCAAAGAGCUGGUGUAAAAUUUCGAGAGAACAAUGGUACUUUCUGAGAUAUCCAAACUCGCAACCCCAACUGUUGCCAUGGAGAAUAUGGAAUACUAUGAUAAGAAAAUAACUUCUACAUUCAAUCAACUGCUAAAAAUGAACUUAUAAAACAGAAUUCUGUAAAACCCCAUAAGAUAGCAAUUCCAUUUCUAAAUUAACGUGACACUUAACAAGGUAUUAUCCCAAAUGGAAUUUUACAGUUUCUGCACUAGGAUAUACAUUUGGGAGACUAUCUUGUGAUUCUAAAGUUCCUCUUUGCACAAUUACAGUGGCAACUUAGGAUCAACGACAAUUUGAACAAUUUCCGGCAAACAUGGAACCAGAAACAUCAAAAUCCAAUAACAUCUCAAGUAUAGAUUAUUAUCCAAACAGAUUGGGAAUCUAACAACAAUUUGAAACAUAAUUCAGCAAAUAAAAUCGACAUGGGUAUGAAAAUACUGUGCAUUACUCAUGAAAUCAAAUGAAAGAGCUUAAAUAUUUCACUGUUAACAUGCUUAAUUUUGGUAAGUCACAUGUCAAUAGCAAUUAAAAAUAUUAGUUGGCAAGCCAGACGGAUUUACACAUUCAAAUCAAAACACAGAAUCACCAACGAAUACUUAACAGUGAAAACGAGACCUAACAGAUCCGAAGGUCGAGCAUGAAGAAUACAAAAAUUGAACAUACUCAUGGUCAACAAUUCGACUAUUUAUUCAUAUUCAACUGCAAAUUUCGUGUAAAUGUGUACAUACCUAGACAGAGAACAGCAAAAUUUGACCCAGGUAAAGGUUGGAAUUAAAACAUGAAACUCAGCAGUGGCCAAAUCGAAGGAAGAAAAAUUCGAAAGGCCGGCGAAUCAAUUCGAAAUCAGCAGCCAAAGAACACCUCGAAAUGACCUCAACUCUACCAAACACAAUCCAUGGUUUUUUUUUUUCAGAAAAUCAAAACAAAUCAAGAUAAAAAAUGAACGAAGAUCUCUUGGUUUUGUUUUUGAAAUCGGAUUUGUGGAAUCCAAAACUUUAGCUUUUCUUUGUUUCUGUUAGGAGGUAUCUUCCUAAUGUGUAGGAAUCUGAUGUGUGUGUGUUUUAUUGUGAAGAAGAAGAGAAUGGGAAAGGGGUCCCGUAUUUGGCGUGUUCUGUUGUGGAGCUGAAGAUGGAAGAGAAGGGCGGGGAUGCUUUUUUUUUUUCGGUUCCCUUUGUGUGUUGAUGGUAUAACG